rnacentral:rRNA from 1 species
AGUGAACGCUGGCGGUAGGCCUAACACAUGCAAGUCGAACGGCAGCACAGUAAGAGCUUGCUCUUACGGGUGGCGAGUGGCGGACGGGUGAGGAAUACAUCGGAAUCUACUUUUUCGUGGGGGAUAACGUAGGGAAACUUACGCUAAUACCGCAUACGACCUACGGGUGAAAGCAGGGGAUCUUCGGACCUUGCGCGAUUGAAUGAGCCGAUGUCGGAUUAGCUAGUUGGCGGGGUAAAGGCCCACCAAGGCGACGAUCCGUAGCUGGUCUGAGAGGAUGAUCAGCCACACUGGAACUGAGACACGCUCCAGACUCCUACGGGAGGCAGCAGUGGGGAAUAUUGGACAAUGGUCGCAAGCCUGAUCCAGCCAUACCGCGUGGGUGAAGAAGGCCUUCGGUUUGUAAAGCCCUUUUGUUGUGAAAGAAAAGCAGCAGGUUAAUACCCCGCUGUUCUGACGGUACCCAAAGAAUAAGCACCGGCUAACUUCGUG